UCAGCUACAAAAUAAAAAAUUCCAAAAUCAGAGAAAACAACUAUAAAAUGGAGUAAAAUGCAGCUACAAAAACACCAUUUUCCCCCAAUUCAUGACGGAGGCUUUGAUUAGUGACGGCGGAGGAAAGACGAGGCCACGUCAGACGCCAAUCGUGACAAUUGAUGCCGUGAAAGUUGUCGAAAAAGGCAGUGGUGGAAAUCCAUACAGAAAAAGCACAAACUUUAAUACCUAAAAAUUAAAAUACAAGGGUUUGUACAAAACAAAUCAAUGCAUCAGACAAGCAAAAGAAGAUUUAUACAUAAGAACAUAGCAAAACUAAACAACUAUAACUUUAAACUUCAAAUCCGAGGGAAUAAUCUUACUAGAGAACGGAAGGGCCGAAAAACACCAUUCACCAAGCAAAAAAUAGAUUCCAAUAUUAAUUUAAUAUUCUUCAAAUUGCAAUAGGUCCAUUUCACAUCACGAACUUCCACAUUAAAUAAACAUAUCUAUUUAUCAAAGUACGAACACCGCAAAACUUCUGUUUUUCUUUUUAAUCAAAAUAAAUGUUAAUUAUCGUUGGAGUUCAGAUUUACUGCAAACUAAAAAAUAAUUAGAGAUCUUACAGCGGGUCUGAGAACGAAGCGAACUAAGCGAGAAUCGACUCCAUAACGGCUAUUGUUCUUUAAUUUCUUCACGGUGCCGGAGAUUUGAGAACGACUCCUUCGUCGUUGUUGAGAUGUGGCGCCACCUUCGUCCUCCGUUUAGCCGCCGCCUCCACCGCCAUUACCGGGAUUCCAAGAUCGAGAAAGAAGAGAAGU
rnacentral:lncRNA from 1 species